AUUGAACGCUGGCGGCAUGCCUUACACAUGCAAGUCGAACGGUAACGGGCCUUCGGGUGCCGACGAGUGGCGAACGGGUGAGUAAUGCAUCGGAACGUACCCAUCAGUGGGGGAUAACUCUCCGAAAGGAGGGCUAAUACCGCAUAUUCUGUGCGCAGGAAAGCGGGGGACCGCAAGGCCUCGCGCUGAUGGAGCGGCCGAUGUCAGAUUAGCUAGUUGGUGGGGUAAAGGCCUACCAAGGCGACGAUCUGUAGCGGGUCUGAGAGGAUGAUCCGCCACACUGGGACUGAGACACGGCCCAGACUCCUACGGGAGGCAGCAGUGGGGAAUUUUGGACAAUGGGGGCAACCCUGAUCCAGCCAUGCCGCGUGAGUGAAGAAGGCCUUCGGGUUGUAAAGCUCUUUCGGCCGGGAAAAAAUCGCAUCUCCUAAUACGGGGUGUGGAUGACGGUACCGGAAUAAGAAGCACCGGCUAACUACGUGCCAGCCGCCGCCGUAA
rnacentral:rRNA from 1 species